CUGAACACACUAGAAACAUUCUUAUUGGAAAACUAAAAUAAAAUAAAACAAAAAAACCUUAAAAAUAAUUCUUGUUCAUCUCCAUCCAGAAAAAAAUCGCAUAUUCAACUAUUAAAUUCGAAAUCCAAAAGGCAACCAGGCAUUCGAACAAUCGAAAUGAAUUUAAGGGGAUCACUAGCUAUCGCUGUGGUUGCAGUUGUCUGGAUUUUAACAAUCCAACCGGCAUAUUCUCUCAAAUGUUGGUACUGUGUUUCCACUGUACAACCAUGGUGUGGUGAUCCUUUUGAUUCAGAUAGUGGAAAUUCUACAUAUCAGUGCGAAGUAACUUCUCCGACUGGUGUUUGUGUUAAAGCCAAAUUAACUGAUGGUGAUAAAUCCGUCACGAGGGCUUGCUUCCCAACAGAUCCCUGUAUUAACGCGGCAGAAGGGGGGGAAUGCACAUCUUGCAAGACGGACUUAUGUAAUGGUGGUUCAGCUUCUGGUCCAGCCAUAUUGCUUUCAGCUGCGGUAGCUUUUGUGCUGAUUACCAUACAAUACUGAAUUUCCCCUGGACCAACAAUGAAUUUGACUGAUUAUAUUUGAAAGUUCAUUCAAUAUUGCAAUAAAGGGUCGAAU